rnacentral:rRNA from 1 species
AGGACGAACGCUGGCGGCGUGCUUAACACAUGCAAGUCGAGCGGAAAGGCCCUUCGGGGUACUCGAGCGGCGAACGGGUGAGUAACACGUGAGCAACCUGCCCUUAGCUUCGGGAUAGCUCCGGGAAACCGGAAUUAAUACCGGAUAUGACUAUGGCCGACAUCAGCCAUGGUGGAAAGUUUUUCGGCUAGGGAUGGACUCGCGGCCUAUCAGCUAGUUGGUGAGGUAACGGCUCACCAAGGCGACGACGGGUAGCCGGCCUGAGAGGGCGACCGGCCACACUGGGACUGAGACACGGCCCAGACUCCUACGGGAGGCAGCAGUGGGGAAUAUUGCGCAAUGGGCGAAAGCCUGACGCAGCGACGCCGCGUGGGGGAUGAAUGCCUUCGGGUUGUAAACCCCUUUCAGCAGGGACGAAGCGAAGUGACGGUACCUGCAGAAGAGCGCCGGCUAACUACGCGCCAGCAGCCGC